AUUGAACGCUGGCGGCAGGCCUAACACAUGCAAGUCGAACGAGUGGCGGACGGGUGCGUAAUGUCUGGGAAACUGCCCGAUGGAGGGGGAUAACUACUGGAAACGGUAGCUAAUAACGCAUACCAUCAGAUGUGCCCAGAUGGGAUUAGCUUGUGGGUGGGGUAAUGGCUCACCUAGGCGACGAUCCCUAGCUGGUCUGAGAGGAUGACCAGCCACACUGGAACUGAGACACGGUCCGUACUCCUACGGUAGGCAGCAGUGGGGAAUAUUGCACAAUGGGCGCAAGCCUGAUGCAGCCCUGCCGCUUGUAUGAAGAAGGCCUUCGGUUUGUAAAGUACUUUCAGCGGGGAGGCGUUACCCGCAGAAGAAGCACCGGCUAACUCCGUGCCAGCAGCCGCGGUAAUUC
rnacentral:rRNA from 1 species